AUUGAACGCUGGCGGCAGGCCUAACACAUGCAAGUCGAACGAGUGGCGGACGGGUGAGUAAUGUCUGGGGAACUGCCCGAUGGAGGGGGAUAACUACUGGAAACGGUGGCUAAUACCGCAUACCAUCGGAUGUGCCCAUAUGGGAUUAGCUAGUAGGUGGGGUAAAGGCUCACCUAGGCGACGAUCCCUAGCUGGUCUGAGAGGAUGACCAGCCACACUGGAACUGAGACACGGCCCAGACUCCUACGGGAGGCAGCAGUGGGGAAUAUUGCACAAUGGGCGCAAGCCUGAUGCAGCCAUGCCGCGUGUAUGAAGAAGGCCUUCGGGUUGUAAAGUACUUUCAGCGAGGAGGCGUUACCCGCAGAAGAAGCACCGGCUAACUCCGUGCCAGCAGCCGCGGUAAUAC
rnacentral:rRNA from 1 species